CUUAGAAAUUAAAGAGAUGGCCUGAUAAAUAUAUUAUUCACUGCCUACAGUGAAAAAUUCAUUUGAUGUCCCAUCUCUACCAGGAACAAAUUGCUUUCCACUCGUAAAAGCCACCCAUGAAAUCCUGGAAGCCUUCUCAAAAUGUAUGUGUCUCUAAAAUUGUUACUGGGAUGAUCAAGUCUCCAUUCCUUCAGAAUUCUUUCUUGGUUCUCCAAUUUUUGGAAUUUCAAUCAGGUGAUACCAGACGGGACUAGUCCCUCCUGACUUUUCCAAAGAGGACCUUCUGUUUUCACUGAAAGAUUCUAAAAUUCUAUACAAAAUCUGUUAUUGAUGCUAAAGAAUUAACCAAAGAACAAUUUCAAGCUUGAAUGUGAGUUGAGCCAGGCAGUGUAGGAAACUGAAUAACGGUCACCUACAGAUAUGAAGUCCUAAUCCCUGGAACUUGUAAAUGUUACCUUAUUUAGAAAAUGGGUCCUUGGGCCGGGUGCCUGUAAUCCCAGCACUUUGGGAGGCCAAGGCAGGUGGAUCACCUGAGGUCAGGAGUUCAAGACCAGCCUGGCCAACAUGGUGGAACCCCAUCUCUACUAAAAAUACAAAAAUUAGCUGGGCAUGAUGGUAGGUGCCUGCAAUCUCACCUACUCAGGAGGCUGAAGCGGGA
rnacentral:lncRNA from 10 species